rfam:Ciona savignyi cont_17269, whole genome shotgun sequence.
GUCUCUGUGGCGUAAUUGGUUAGCGCGUUCGGCUGUUAACCGAAAGGUUGCUGGUUCCAGCCCAGCCAGGGACG